GCUCAGGAUGAACGCUGGCGGCGUGCUUAACACAUGCAAGUCGAACGGUGAACACGGAGCUUGCUCUGUGGGAUCAGUGGCGAACGGGUGAGUAACACGUGAGCAACCUGCCCCUGACUCUGGGAUAAGCGCUGGAAACGGCGUCUAAUACUGGAUAUGUGACGUGACCGCAUGGUCUGCGUCUGGAAAGAAUUUCGGUUGGGGAUGGGCUCGCGGCCUAUCAGCUUGUUGGUGAGGUAAUGGCUCACCAAGGCGUCGACGGGUAGCCGGCCUGAGAGGGUGACCGGCCACACUGGGACUGAGACACGGCCCAGACUCCUACGGGAGGCAGCAGUGGGGAAUAUUGCACAAUGGGCGCAAGCCUGAUGCAGCAACGCCGCGUGAGGGACGACGGCCUUCGGGUUGUAAACCUCUUUUAGCAGGGAAGAAGCGAAAGUGACGGUACCUGCAGAAAAAGCGCCGGCUAACUACGUGCCAGCAGCCGCGGUAAUACGUAGGGCGCAAGCGUUAUCCGGAAUUAUUGGGCGUAAAGAGCUCGUAGGCGGUUUGUCGCGUCUGCUGUGAAAUCCGGAGGCUCAACCUCCGGCCUGCAGUGGGUACGGGCAGACUAGAGUGCGGUAGGGGAGAUUGGAAUUCCUGGUGUAGCGGUGGAAUGCGCAGAUAUCAGGAGGAACACCGAUGGCGAAGGCAGAUCUCUGGGCCGUAACUGACGCUGAGGAGCGAAAGGGUGGGGAGCAAACAGGCUUAGAUACCCUGGUAGUCCACCCCGUAAACGUUGGGAACUAGUUGUGGGGUCCAUUCCACGGAUUCCGUGACGCAGCUAACGCAUUAAGUUCCCCGCCUGGGGAGUACGGCCGCAAGGCUAAAACUCAAAGGAAUUGACGGGGACCCGCACAAGCGGCGGAGCAUGCGGAUUAAUUC
rnacentral:rRNA from 1 species